AGGACGAACGCUGGCGGCGUGCUUAACACAUGCAAGUCGAGCGGAAAGGCUCCUUCGGGGGUACUCGAGCGGCGAACGGGUGAGUAACACGUGAGUAAUCUGCCCUUCACUCUGGGAUAACGUUCAGAAAUGGGUGCUAAUACCGGAUGUUCUCCUGUCCCUGCAUGGGGGUGGGUGGAAAGGUUUUUCUGGUGGGGGAUGUGCUCGCGGCCUAUCAGCUUGUUGGUGGGGUAAUGGCCUACCAAGGCUUUGACGGGUAGCCGGCCUGAGAGGGUGACCGGCCACACUGGGACUGAGACACGGCCCAGACUCCUACGGGAGGCAGCAGUGGGGAAUUUUGCACAAUGGGCGAAAGCCUGAUGCAGCAACGCCGCGUGUGUGAUGAAGGUCUUCGGAUCGUAAAGCACUUUCGACCGGGACGAACACCUUUUUGGCUAACAUCCAAAAGCCUGACGGUACCGGAGAAGAAGCACCGGCUAACUCUGUGCCAGCAGCCGC
rnacentral:rRNA from 1 species